GUUUACCACCAUACAACCCUGAAUGUGCCCAAUCUCAUUUGAUUGUGGAAACUAAGCAGAGUCAGCCCUUGUUAGUGCUUGGAUGGAAAAGAAUGAGAACUCCAUCAGUAAAGCACGGUAAGUU
rnacentral:rRNA from 1 species